rnacentral:rRNA from 1 species
GACGAACGCUGGCGGCGUGCUUAACACAUGCAAGUCGAACGGAAAGGCCCUGCUUUUGUGGGGUUCUCGAGUGGCGAACGGGUGAGUAACACGUGAGUAACCUGCCCUUGACUUUGGGAUAACUUCAGGAAACUGGGGCUAAUACCGGAUAUGAGCUCCUGCUGCAUGUUGGGGGUUGGAAAAUUUCGGCGGUUGUGGAUGGACUCGCGGCUUAUCAGCUUGUUGGUGGGGUAGUGGCUUACCAAGGCUUUGACGGGUAGCCGGCCUGAGAGGGGGACCGGCCACAAUGGGACUGAGAGACGGCCCAGACUGCUACGGGAGGCAGCAGUGGGGAAUAUUGCACAAUGGGCGGAAGCCUGAUGCAGCAACGCCGCGUGCGGGAUGACGGCCUUCGGGUUGUAAACCGCUUUCGCCUGAGACGAAGCGUGAGUGACGGUAAUGGGUAAAGAAGCACCGGCUAACUACGUG